GAUGAAGAACGUAGCAAAAUGCGAUAAGUAAUGUGAAUUGCAGAAUUCAGUGAAUCAUCGAAUCUUUGAACGCACAUUGCGCCCGCUGGUAUUCCGGCGGGCAUGCCUGUUCGAGCGUCAUUUCAACCCUCAAGCCCCCGGGUUUGGUGUUGGGGAUCGGCUCUGCCCUUCUGGGCGGUGCCGCCCCCGAAAUACAUUGGCGGUCUCGCUGCAGCCUCCAUUGCGUAGUAGCUAACACCUCGCAACUGGAACGCGGCGCGGCCAUGCCGUAAAACCCCAACUUCUGCAUGUUGACCUCGGAUCAGGUAGGAAUACCCGCUGAACUUAAGCAUAUCAAUAAGCGGAGGA
rnacentral:misc_RNA from 1 species